CAUCGGAUCACCGAAAUUAAGUAACAUCGAGCCUGGUCAGUACUUAGAUGGGUAACCGCUUGGGAAUACCAGGUGCUGUAAG